rnacentral:rRNA from 1 species
GGUUGUAGCUGAUCUUUUUAAGAUAUGUGCACACCUCUUGUCAUCUACAUACCACAUGUGCACUUUUUGUAGGCUUUCCCAAGGCCUAUGUUUGCUUUAUUACACCCAUUGUAGAAGAAUGUUUAAUUGAUGAAAUUUAAUACAACUUUCAACAACGGAUCUCUUGGCUCUCGCAUCGAUGAAGAACGCAGCGAAAUGCGAUAAGUAAUGUGAAUUGCAGAAUUCAGUGAAUCAUCAAAUCUUUGAACGCACCUUGCGCUCCUUGGUAUUCCGAGGAGCAUGCCUGUUUGAGUGUCAUUAAAUUAUCAACCUCUUCAAGAGGCUUGGAUUUGGAGUGUUGCUGGCUUAUGUUGGCUUCUCUUAAAUGCAUUAUAGCUUGUAGGCUUUGGUUUGAUAAUAUCUAUGCCAUUGCCAUAAACAAAACCCUUUAAAAUUUGACCUCAAAUCAGGUAGGACUACCCGCUGAACUUAAGCAUAUCAAUAAGCGGAGGAAAAGAAACUAACAAGGAUU